GGCCGGUUAGCUUAGUGGUUUGAGUGUGGUGCUGACAACAAUGACAACACCGAGGUCGUGGGUUUGAUUCCCACUCGGUCC
rnacentral:tRNA from 1 species